ensembl:lncRNA
GGUUCUUACACACACACUGGACUUUCUGGACUUUGGUUUUGCACAACACUGGUCACUAUAUUCUUCAUUUCCGGUUAAUACUUGUACAGCUGCUGUUAUUGUGUAUAUGUUUAUUUAGAUUUCUUCAUACAUUCUUAUAUAGUUCUAUAUUGUGUAUUUUGUUGUACAGUUAUUUUAUUUUCAACUUUAAUUUAUAUAUUUUAUCUUAUUCUUUCCCAGUUAAAUUUACCCUUCAUUCUAAUUUGUGUUGUACAGUUAUUUCAUUUUUAACCUUAAUUUAUAUUUUAUUCAUUCAUAGUUAAAUUUACCCUUUUUAAUUUUUCAUAUUUAUUUCCUAUCUUAUUCAUAGCCUUUUCCUUUUUUGUUUUCUUUAGGUCACGAGCAGUUGUCCAAGCAUUUCACUACAUAUCGUACUGUGUAUGACUGUGUACGUGACAAAUAAAAAUUUGAAUUUGAAUUUGAAUUCCCCAACUCUCUGUGAAUGGUACUCAUGGCCAUUGAUCAAUGGUCAUGACAAUUUGCAUAUUAAUGAUCAAGGAACUGACCUCACAGCCCACUGUUCAUUCAGUGGGCUGGUUUCAGUUAUUGUGCUAAUGUACUGUGUAUAAGUUUGUGUUAUGGUGCUGGGUCGUUGACCCAGCGUUUUGUGUUUUAUGAUUAUUUUCCUCUGUUCUAGUUAUUCUGAUUUUGGUAUUCUGUGUCCUCCCCCCUUGUGUCCGGUUCGUGUUCUAGAUUUCCUGUUUUAUUCUGAAGGUCUCUGUCUGUUGUCAUUGUGUUCAGCUUGUGUCCUCCAGUCAUCAUGUGUAUUAGGAUCAGCUGUUCUUCCCUCCUGUGUGUGAUUACCCAAUUACCUUGUGUGUGUAUAUUUAGUGGGUGUCGGUCUGUGUUCGUUGUUGGCUCGUCUGCAUUUCUCUGUGUUCCAUGGUGUUUCGUUCCUGUGGCUCUCUGCCCCGCACCCCUUUUGUAUGCUCUUAGGUUUGUUAUGUAGUUCUCCCAGUUUAGGUUUCUUCAGUUAUUUGUCAUGCUUCACUGCUUGCUUGCCACUAUCCCACCUUGUAAAUAAACGUCACACUCUUCAUCAGUCAGCUGCCUGCAUUUUGGGUCCUUUUCAUUUCACUACACGACUGCUGCCCCAGCCGCGACAGUACGAGCCGACCAAACAUGGACCCAGCAGCAUCCGCACCUUCCCAGGAGUUUUGGGAGGAAUUAAUUGACUCUGUUUCAAGGUUGGUUAACCUGUGGCUCGAACGUGAGGGAGAGGAAUUUCACCGCGUUAUAGAAGCCAGGCUACAGCAAUUACUCUCUCCUCACCCCUGGCUACUGGACUCUCUUCACCCGCUCGCACAGGACUUCAUUCUGAACAAACUCCAUCUUCACCCUCCAGCUGCUACCGCUUCCCGACCCAGCCCGGUGGUGAAUGUUUUGCACCGCCGGCCGGGGAAUCUGCGGCCCGGCCCGCCGGAUGUGGAAUUACCCGGCCGGUCGGUGCUAUCCCUGAGAAGGAAGCGACGUUCACGCCGCCGACGCCCAUUGCCACAGCCGGGUCCCGAGACUUCUGAGUUGCCGGCUGUGGUGAGUGGAAAAGGCACUCUUUGUUUCGCCAGACCUUGUGACUGUUUAUACCGGGGCUGUGUGGUUUUUUUUUUUUUUUUUUGAGUUAGCUGCCCAGCCGGAAGCUCCGUCACAUUCAGCCUCACUACCCAUAGCCCAGUUACAGUCACAGCCAGACUUAUUACAAACUAUGUUACAGUCCAUUGCCCAGUCAAUAGCUCAGUUGGUAGAGGAAUCAUCAGCCUUAUCGUCAGCUCAGUCUCCAACUUCACCAUUAUUUUUCCAACCUUUUCCUCAGUCGCCCUCAGCUCAGCCACCUAUUCAGCCAUCAUCUUCACCUACUCCUCCAGUACAGCAAGCUAUGUCUAUUCAACCCAUAAAGAACUGUUCUACGACCUCUAAUCCUAAGCAGAGAGACAAACCACACAAUUUUGUUAUCAGUCCUCAAAAGCUGGCCAGUUCAGAGACUGUGACGCACUCCAGGGCCCCCCCAGAGGCUGAGUUUCAGCCCUCAGCCCACUCUGGACCCCUGGAGGCUAAGAACCGAGCUGAGGACUGCACCCAGCUGUCGCUGCCUGAGCAGGGUCAGUGCUCCGUGCAGCUGCAGUCAGCCAUGUGUGUGCCAGGGGGCCCUGUGCCCGCUGGUUCAGUGACUGUUUCCACUGUGGGUUCUGGAGAGCCCGGCCAGCCCGUCCUCGUCUCCGUCUCCGCUGGAGGGCCCGAGGAGCCCGUCCAGCAACCUGCUUCUUCACCUGCUUCACCCACAUCGCCUGCAGCAGCAGCAGCUGCAGCUCCGGCCUCGUCCUCGCCUGGUCCAGCCUCUGCCUUGCCUGGUGCUGCGGGGGCCACGCAGCCUUUGUGUCCCAAACUGCCGCCUCGACAUCGGCAGUCAUCUGCCAGGCUGCUUGUUGGGCGUCAUCGCCACUAUGGGCGACCUCCCGAACGCCGCUGCUAUCUUCCGCGCGGCCGGCCUCCGGACUUGCCGUUGCCGUCCGCACGGGUGGCCCCUGAAGAUGAACUGUUCUAGACUCCUGAAUUGUCAGCCUCCGGGCCGGCCUCCUGAACUAUGUUUUGGGACCCUGUUCAGGGACGUGUGUGUGUGUGUGUGUGUGUGUGUGUGUGUGUUGGGCAAUUCAUUUGGAUCACUGGAGCUUGUUUUUUGUUUGGUUUUGGAGAAGAAGAGAGUGAGCGAACGGCAGAUGAUUGUGGAGUUUGAGGAACAUGGCGUAUGUGGAUUCCCCUCCCAACCUUUCCUUGGAGCCCUGGAUUCCCCUGCCUGCACUUCAUAUAUAUCGUGCACAUUGGUGACUGUAAAUAAACCUUUGACCCUGAAAAGCCUGCGUUUGUGCCUGAGUCCGUUCCGUCCGCCUUGACAGUUACAUGUAAUACAUUUGGACAACAAUGUUAUGUCAUUAGAUCCUCGGCUUGAACAAUUUGUUUUUCUAGUAGUUUAACAAGCCCUUUUUCAGAUGAAAAUAAUGGAAAAUGUACAUUUUUUUUUCAUGCAGUGUUGCUUCCUUGAAAUGGCUCUGACUAGACCCUAACAGUUUGGUGUUACCCACUUCCACAUCAAAUAUUUGCAGAGAAAACUGGGCAUUUACUUGAAGUGGUCUUUGCCCUUUGAAAGUCCAACAUUCUCUCUAAGUUUAGCUCUGAUUUGCUUCCCGUCAGCUGCUGAGAAAAACAUCAGGCUCUUUACCUGAUAAUGUUCAUCUUUCCAGCAGUUAAUUUUUUACUUUGCCUGCCUGCUGUUUGCUCUGUGUUACAGUACUUUUAUCAAAUUUACUGGACCUUCCAACUGUUCCAACCUAAUUUAACCCCGUUUCACUUUUUCACUGUACAUAAAUGCUCUGUGUUCACUUGGAGCUUUGCCACAAAGCUUGUUUUCAACAUCUUGGAUGAGCAGGCAUUCCCUCCACUUGCGACAGACCGUCUAUGCUCUUCCUCACCAUUACUCAGCUGUGAACUCGGGUUCCUGGCUUCUUCCACCUGCUCUACGAAUCAUCCGAAGGUGAGUAGGUCCAUCACAUUCAUCUCAGGGAAUGGGACCUUCUUCAGGUAACUCAACACAUCCUUCAUCAUCGAGCAUCUCUGAAAAACCUCAUAAUUGGAGACUCACUUGUGAGGGAUUUAAGAAUAAAAGAGGUUUACUCUUUUCCAGUUUCAAUGAUUUUGCCACUUCUACACGACCUCUGUCAUAUGCUUAUCAUAUCAUUAUAUAAUCAUUUGGAUGAAAUGACAAAGACUUUAUAUACCGUGAAAAGUGAUGCUCAAGGUAAUGAAAGCACAGUGAAUGACAACCCAGCUCUGAAAUUACAUUUCAAAUUAUUCACCAGGUGAUCAUAAACAGCACUCUAAAUAUCACAGUCAAGGUAUAAUUUGUGAUAAUAUUGGUCUGUGUGAGCUGGGUUGCACAGUUUAAUUUCUAGGAAUCCACUGGGAGCGACUGAAUCAUGACACUUAAUCCUGACGAAGAAGGAAGACGUCAGCGAACACAGGAAACCAGACCACAUAUUUGCAAUGGACUUUAAAUUGAAACAAAAUUUAGACUCUGCUUUUAGAAUAACUAUGUACUGCAGUUAAACAAUUACCAUAAAAUUAGAGCUG